rnacentral:rRNA from 1 species
AACGGUAACAGGAAGCAGCUUGCUGCUUCGCUGACGAGUGGCGGACGGGUGAGUAAUGUCUGGGAAACUGCCUGAUGGAGGGGGAUAACUACUGGAAACGGUAGCUAAUACCGCAUAACGUCGCAAGACCAAAGAGGGGGACCUUCGGGCCUCUUGCCAUCGGAUGUGCCCAGAUGGGAUUAGCUAGUAGGUGGGGUAACGGCUCACCUAGGCGACGAUCCCUAGCUGGUCUGAGAGGAUGACCAGCCACACUGGAACUGAGACACGGUCCAGACUCCUACGGGAGGCAGCAGUGGGGAAUAUUGCACAAUGGGCGCAAGCCUGAUGCAGCCAUGCCGCGUGUAUGAAGAAGGCCUUCGGGUUGUAAAGUACUUUCAGCGGGGAGGAAGGCGAUAAGGUUAAUAACCUUGUCGAUUGACGUUACCCGCAGAAGAAGCACCGGCUAACUCCGUGCCAGCAGCCGCGGUAAUACGGAGGGUGCAAGCGUUAAUCGGAAUUACUGGGCGUAAAGCGCACGCAGGCGGUCUGUCAAGUCGGAUGUGAAAUCCCCGGGCUCAACCUGGGAACUGCAUUCGAAACUGGCAGGCUAGAGUCUUGUAGAGGGGGGUGGAAUUCCAGGUGUAGCGGUGAAAUGCGUAGAGAUCUGGAGGAAUACCGGUGGCGAAGGCGGCCCCCUGGACAAAGACUGACGCUCAGGUGCGAAAGCGUGGGGAGCAAACAGGAUUAGAUAUCCCUGGUAGUCCACGCCGUAAACGAUGUCGACUUGGAGGUUGUGCCCUUGAGGCGUGGCUUCCGGAGCUAACGCG